CCUACGGGCGGCAGCAGUGGGGAAUAUCGGACAAUGGGGGGAACCCUGAUCCAGCCAUGCCGCGUGUGUGAAGAAGGCCCUCGGGUUGUAAAGCACUUUCAGUGAGGAAGAACGCCUGGUGGUUAAUACCCAUCAGGAAAGACAUCACUCACAGAAGAAGCACCGGCUAACUCCGUGCCAGCAGCCGCGGUAAUACGGAGGGUGCGAGCGUUAAUCGGAAUUACUGGGCGUAAAGCGCGCGUAGGUGGCUUGAUAAGCCGGUUGUGAAAGCCCCGGGCUCAACCUGGGAACGGCAUCCGGAACUGUCAAGCUAGAGUGCAGGAGAGGAAGGUAGAAUUCCCGGUGUAGCGGUGAAAUGCGUAGAGAUCGGGAGGAAUACCAGUGGCGAAGGCGGCCUUCUGGACUGACACUGACACUGAGGUGCGAAAGCGUGGGUAGCAAACAGGAUUAGAUACCCUUGUAGUC
rnacentral:rRNA from 1 species